rnacentral:rRNA from 1 species
AGUGAACGCUGGCGGUAGGCCUAACACAUGCAAGUCGAACGGCAGCACAGAGGAGCUUGCUCCUUGGGUGGCGAGUGGCGGACGGGUGAGGAAUACAUCGGAAUCUACUCUUUCGUGGGGGAUAACGUAGGGAAACUUACGCUAAUACCGCAUACGCCCUUCGGGGGAAAGCAGGGGAUCGCAAGACCUUGCGCGAUUGAAUGAGCCGAUGUCGGAUUAGCUAGUUGGCGGGGUAACGGCCCACCAAGGCGACGAUCCGUAGCUGGUCUGAGAGGAUGAUCAGCCACACUGGAACUGAGACACGGUCCAGACUCCUACGGGAGGCAGCAGUGGGGAAUAUUGGACAAUGGGCGCAAGCCUGAUCCAGCCAUACCGCGUGGGUGAAGAAGGCCUUCGGGUUGUAAAGCCCUUUUGUUGGGAAAGAAAAGCAUUCGGUUAAUACCCGAGUGUUCUGACGGUACCCAAAGAAUAAGCACCGGCUAACUUCGUGCCAGCCGCCGCCGUAACAC